rnacentral:rRNA from 1 species
UACGUAGGGGGCAAGCGUUGUCCGGAAUCAUUGGGCGUAAAGCGCGUGUAGGCGGCUCGGUAAGUCCGCUCUGAAAGCCCGGGGCUCAACCCCGGGAGGCGGGCGGAAACUGUCGUGCUAGAGUCCGGAAGAGGCGAGUGGAAUUCCCGGUGUAGCGGUGAAAUGCGUAGAUAUCGGGAGGAAGACCUGUGGCGAAAGCGGCUCACUGGACCACAACUGACGCUGAGGCGCGAAAGCUAGGGGAGCAAACAGG